rnacentral:rRNA from 1 species
CCGGUAAACGGCGGCCGUAACUAUAACGGUCCUAAGGUAGCGAAAUUCCUUGUCGGGUAAGUUCCGACCUGCACGAAUGGCGUAAUGAUGGCCAGGCUGUCUCCACCCGAGACUCAGUGAAAUUGAACUCGCUGUGAAGAUGCAGUGUACCCGCGGCAAGACGGAAAGACCCCGUGAACCUUUACUAUAGCUUGACACUGAACAUUGAGCCUUGAUGUGUAGGAUAGGUGGGAGGCUUUGAAGUGUGGACGCCAGUCUGCAUGGAGCCGACCUUGAAAUACCACCCUUUAAUGUUUGAUGUUCUAACGUUGGCCCGUUAUCCGGGUUGCGGACAGUGUCUGGUGGGUAGUUUGACUGGGGCGGUCUCCUCCUAAAGAGUAACGGAGGAGCACGAAGGUUGGCUAAUCCUGGUCGGACAUCAGGAGGUUAGUGCAAUGGCAUAAGCCAGCUUGACUGCGAGCGUGACGGCGCGAGCAGGUGCGAAAGCAGGUCAUAGUGAUCCGGUGGUUCUGAAUGGAAGGGCCAUCGCUCAACGGAUAAAAGGUACUCCGGGGAUAACAGGCUGAUACCGCCCAAGAGUUCAUAUCGACGGCGGUGUUUGGCACCUCGAUGUCGGCUCAUCACAUCCUGGGGCUGAAGUAGGUCCCAAGGGUAUGGCUGUUCGCCAUUUAAAGUGGUACGCGAGCUGGGUUUAGAACGUCGUGAGACAGUUCGGUCCCUAUCUGCCGUGGGCGCUGGAGAACUGAGGGGGGCUGCUCCUAGUACGAGAGGACCGGAGUGGACGCAUCACUGGUGUUCGGGUUGUCAUGCCAAUGGCACUGCCCGGUAGCUAAAUGCGGAAGAGAUAAGUGCUGAAAGCAUCUAAGCACGAAACUUGCCCCGAGAUGAGUUCUCCCUGACUCCCUGAGAGUCCUGAAGGAACGUUGAAGACG